UUGAUAUGUUGGCUCACCAUUCCGUUCAUCGAAUAGCUCAAUAGUAUGGAAAUACGAGAAAUGCCCAUGGAAUUACAAUACAAAAACAAAUUUUGCUUAACUAUCAUAAUUACCUAUAGACUUAGUGAACAAGGGGGAAAAUGUGUACAUGAUUUGAAAGGGAUUUAGGACUCCUUGAUCAAUCAAUCAAACAACAAGGAAAGGAGCGAUAAAAACAUCAAAAAAUACGAAAAUAAG